rnacentral:rRNA from 1 species
UACGUAGGGGGCGAGCGUUGUCCGGAUUUAUUGGGCGUAAAGGGCGCGUAGGCGGUUUCUUAAGUUUGAAGUGACAGUGGGUGGCUUAACUACCCAAGGCCUUUGAAAACUGGGGAACUUGAGGACCAGAGAGGGACAUAGAAUUCCGGGUGGAGUGGUGAAAUGCGUAGAUAUCCGGAGGAAUACCAAAGGCGAAGGCAGUGUCCUGGAGGGUGACUGACGCUGAGGCGCGAAAGCUAGGGGAGCA